GCGGGAGUAGCUCAGUGGUAGAGCAUCAGCUUCCCAAGCUGAGGGUCGCGGGUUCGAUCCCCGUUUCCCGCUCCA
rnacentral:tRNA from 1 species